UGAACCGGGUCCCCUACCCCCAAAAAAUCCUAGAGAUUGAGUCCUUUUGAACGACUAGCUUUCCUGGUUUCUCUCCGAUCAUUUCAAUUCCAGCAGUGUAAGGUGACUUUAAGGGUGAUGAAAUCGGGAAUCUAGUCACCUGCUGUUUAGAUUCACUUUUGAAGAAGCUAGCUCAGUGGAUUCCGAUUAUAAAGUGCAGUGGUUCCAUGGUUGCUCCCUCAAUGAAAGUAGUAACUAUAGAUUAAUUCUGUAACAUUUAAGACUGGACUGUAAAAUAAUGCUUGUAAUUGAUCGGUUGGUUUGUUGAUGUAAUUAGUUCAAUUUGAUAGGCUAUGAACCUCUCACGUGAUUCAGAUUAAUUGCAAAUCAAUGCUGGACUUGAAUGGUUGCAGAUUUUGUCCUAUAAUUCGUGCAGUUUUUUGUUAAUUUUUGGAGUUUGUGUUCACUCUAUUGGGCCUAAAAGAUAGAAUUGUCCAUUUUGUGGCCUGAUUAAUUAAUGAUGGAUUCUGGACUUCACCAAGGAGAGCCCAUUGAAGACCUGGGCAUUUGAGAUCUAAUUAGCCUCAGUCACAAUUCGAAUCAUUCUAUACAGUAACUGGGGAACACAUUUGUCUUCACCUCUGUUCUUGAUUAAAAUAACCAAAUUAGAAUUAGUAGGACAACUAUUUAUAUAUAAUUACGUCCAUCUUUCCCCACUAGUUAAAUUCCAUAGGCAUGUUUUUAAACUGUUGGUAAUUGUAACUUGAUUCUGAAUAUGUAAAAUAAUCCUUUAACUCA